CCUACAAAGAUCAAGGAGAGAAAGAGAGUGAUAAGGUAGGGAGAGCGGAAUGGCAAUACCAGUAGUUAUUCAUUUAUUGUUUAAAGAGAUGACCAGAAAGGGAUACAAAAGGUUUAUUAAAGAAAUAUACCAGAUUUGACAGUUUGCUGUCAACCUUCAUAUUAUGAGUAUCGAUUCCAGGGAAACUUUUUUUUUGGGGGGGGGUUGCAAUUAAACAAAAGAACAAUCACUGAUGUCGCAUUUCACUUCUCUGUCAUCACAAGUGUAACAAUGUGUUUCCUCUUUUACAAGACUAUAGUUACCUUACAAAAUAGACACAAAUAAUACAAACAGACAGGUCAUUAUCUCCGAUUAGUAAUAUUUUAAUGACAGCUUUGUUUGCAACUAAUAUAAGUUAGCCUACCUCUCAAGGUGACUCUCUCACAAAGAGUACGGUGUGGUAUUAAGUCUUGCUUAAAUGCUGAUGUAUACAUGUGGUAACUUGUAGUGUAAUUGAUGACAAAACAGAAGCGCAUGUUCCCUCAGCACAAUCUAAGCAGAAUUUUUAAGCAUGACAUCAAUCACACUUUACUUUGUGAAAUAUCAUUUGGAGUUGAACUCUACUUGAAAUAAUAAUUCUCUAUUUCUGGGCACACAGAUUUGUACAAAUGGUUAAAUACAUCAAUAUCAAGGAACAGUAGAUUAGACAGCAAUCAAUGAUGAAAGCAUUUAGCAUUUUUACACGGCAAAAACUCUGGUGUAUGAAUAAGAAUCUCCGUACACAAUGGCAUACUCAUGCACAGAAGGCAAACAUAUAGUACAUGUACAAAGUCCAUCACAAAACUUUUACUCAAAAUGUUCUCAUAAUAAAGUUGAAUUCUAAUACACACAGGGGUAGUGUCGGGGAAUUUCAGGGGGCAGAUUUACCAAAGUGCAGCUUGAUGAGUCAUCUCAUUCAUUUUUUUCCUUUUUUCUCUUUUUUUUUCUUUUCUCCUAUUGCAAGAAAAUCAACUUUGACAGCCUGUCCCCCUCCCUGUAAUGUCACCUCUGAAUAUAUAAAUAAAGGAUUAACAAAAUCAUGCUGCUGCAUUGAUGUGGCCUAAAUUGCACAUUUUCAUCUUUCAGCAAGGCUAAAUCCAGCUGCCAUAAAACUAGAAAUUGGACCAACUUCAAGAACCUGGACAAAAUAAUUCUUGUCCAGUAUGUCUGUAGUAAACAAAGGGUCUUUCUCUCAGAGCUUGACUGGGUGUGUUUCCAUUCCAACAUUGUACAAGCCCAACAUGAAACAGUGUAAACAGAGGCUUAAGCCAACCAAAUUUUGGGGUCUUUUCCGAAGUGUAGACAGCUACUUAGAAAACUGGAUGACAAUAAUGCUCCAUCAUAAACUUGAGUUUGAAAACACAAUAGGCACAAAUCCACACACAUGGUUUAAUUUGUACCAUGGAACAAAUCUGUGAGUUAUGCAGAUUAAGUCAGAUUACAAAUGCCAUUUAUGGCAAAGGACGCUUAAUUUAUGCUUAAAUGUAGCGCAAUAAUACAAGAAAUCUGCAAAGUCCAUGGUUUUGUACCAUGAUACAAAUAAACCAUCUUUUGUGAAUUUGGACCAUAGUGUACAUAGUAUGCCUACAAUUCACCCUGGUACAAAGGUAAAUUGAGGGGGAAUAUAUGAUAUGGAAAAGAUAAAUGAUAUAUAUGUGCUUGAAAAAGUAACAUGUAAAUACAUGAAGGCACUUUUAAGAAAAAUAAACCCUAUCAGUAACAGGUACACAAUAACAGCACUUCAUAUGUCAUGACAGUAACAACUUUUUAUAAAGAGCUUAUAUAAAUUCAAAACAGAGACUUGUGUAGCAUACCUAGUGAUCGCCUCCUAAGAUUUGGCCCCUCUUAAAAGACUAAAUCCAGUAUUUUACAGAACUUCACUUAAGUUUUACAAGGGAUUCAAAGGCCCAUACACAUGUAACAUUACACUCUAACACUUCAUAUUUAACAUAACAAAGAUCCCGAUGAACAGAAAAACUUUUAUGCAAACAAUCCAACUCUUGCAAUACCCCUUAAAUUCAUCAUCAAUUACUGUAUUUAGAUCCUAAACCAUAUUAAUCCUUCAUUAGAUUUCCUAAACAAGUGACAAUUAUCAUUCUAGCAAAAUUUUGAUCUUGGGCGUUUUAAAUUGUUAUGGAAUGGGGUUUAAAUAUCACUUGUAUUCUCUGUUCCGCCAUACUGUACAUAUACCUUGCAUCUACAGCUAUCAUGAAAUAAAAUAGUAUGUGAUGAAUAUAUCCACCAACUGAAAUCUAAUUAAAUAUCAUGAAAUAAGUUAAUGAAUGUAUAUUUGGAAUGCUGACUUGAGAUGAAUAUCUUAUUAAACCAACAUUUGGAAGACUAUAACAGAGGAAAGUAGCAAGAUACAUUAAAAGUGAGAAAACACUCAAAACAAACAAACAAAAAUAAAAACAAACCAAAAGGCAAUUUCAGUACCAAUGUAUAUGAAAAUAUAAGUCUGGUAAUCAAAUACACACUUAACAGAAAAACCUAUUCACUGAUAUUGCCCCCCACAGUUAAUUUCUUAGAAAAAAAUGAAACUAUGUUUCUAAUGACAAAUUUUACAUCAAAAUAUGAGUAUAAGUCACAUUCACAUUUUCACACAUUAUCCAACAUCCCAGUCAUUUCUUUAAAAAUAUCAAUAGUGAUUUAAAUUUAUAAAUGCAUCAUCACAAAUGAAUUCAUAUUCAUCUUAUGAUUUGGUCACUGAUUCCCAAUGGGAUCACAAUAAAGGCCCUAUUCUGGUUCAAUGACACACAGAUAAUUGUAAAUUAGUCAUUUUUAUACUCAAUCACUAGUGUCAACACCAAACACGCAUGCAUUGUUCAGGGACUCUUCAGCAUGUUAUAGGUGAGCUCAUUGCAAACCUACCAUCCAAAAUGUACCAUUGCACAGCCACAUGACAUCAUAACAUAAUUGCUUCAUAUUCAAAUUUGUGCUUGCAAACUGUGCCUAAGAUUUCUUCAAAGACACACAUGACUUGCUUUCUUUAAUUGUGACUUCACUUCAAGCUUACAGAGUAAACAUGGAUUUUAAGUCAUACAUUUGAAAGAUGCACCUAUGUUAUAAUGCAGCCGGCUAUUAAGUAACUUUAAAACCUCGCUUUAUAUAUGCCAAGAUUUUGUUAUACUUCUUAAUUGCCAUCAAUUUCUCAAACUUGUUUGUACUCAUUGAGAGAUAUUUAUUACAUAUCUAUAAAUCCCUCUUUCACCCCAUGCAAUAUUUUGACUAUCACACUCAUGUCUAUUCAAUAUUUUAUACCAUACCAUGGUUCUGGGAGUGAUAUGAUAAAGCAUUGGAAACAGUGACGCAGGGCAUCUUUGGUGUGACAAAGACAUUGUUCUAUGAAUUAUGUUAUAUCUGCUUUGUAAUUAGCACUGCUCAGUGCUGCAAUAUCACAAGCCUUUUCAUAAUAUUUUUUCUUUCAUAUUUACAAAUAUACAAAAUAAAGCAUAUCAAUUCAUUCAAACAUUCAAUUGAAUCAGACAAAUUUAAUAAUCAGUUCUUGGCAUUCAUCAAAAAUAAAAUGGAUAUGACAUAAAUGUCAUCACCAACAAAUGCCCUGUGGUAUGCUUUGUUACAUGUACAUAUAACUGAAGUUGAAUUUUAACUACAAAUUAUUCACAGUACCAGUACACAAGCAUGAACAAACACAGAUAUACACAUCUGGGACUGAAAUGAAUGCAACAAAUGCUAGCAUGGUCUAUAUGAAUCUACCAUGCCUAUUUAAAUCAAACAAUAAAACCAUUUUCUUAUGAAAAAAAAGGAAUUUAUAAAUGUACAGUAAGAAAUCAUAAUAUACAACUGUAGUAGAAUCUGAAUGGAAAUAAUUUAUUCCAUAAAAGCUUUGUAAUCAUACUUUUGCUUUUUGUUCUUAAAGCUGAAUGCAUCAGCAGGACAAUGGGUGAUCUCCAUGUAUCAAAGUACCCAAGUGAAAAUCAAUAUUCAUGUAUGUUGUACAGAAGAGUAGUCUGGAAAUUUAAAUGAAAUAAAGACUACAAACAUAAAUAAACUUAACCAAAGCUAAGGUUCCUCAAUAAAUAACCCCAAAAGCAUUUUGAUGCUAAAUAAAUGCUGAUUAUAUAUAACUUUAACACUAAAUAAAUGCUGAUUAUAUAUAACCUUAAAAAAAGUGUUUUUAAUUAUAACAUCUAGCCAGUUUAUUCAUUGUAUCUUCAUAUAGAUCCAUAUGGGAAGAAUUCAUUUCCAAAAGGCACUAAAUUCACUUUUGAUAUGAUUUUAAUCAUUGCCUACAAAAGCAUUGAACCACGAU